GAUGAACGCUGGCGGCGUGCCUAAUACAUGCAAGUCGAGCGAACAGACGAGGAGCUUGCUCCUCUGACGUUAGCGGCGGACAGGUGAGUAACACGUGGAUAACCUACCUAUAAGACUGGGAUAACUUCGGGAAACCGGAGCUAAAACCGGCUAAUAUAUUGAAUCGAAUGGUUCAAUAGUGAAAGUCGGUUUUGCUGUCACUUAUAUAUGGAUCCGCGCCGCAUUAGCUAGUUGGUAAGGUAACGGCAUACCAAGGCAACGAUGCGUAGCCGACCUGAGAGGGUGAGCGGCCACACUGGAACUGAGAAACGGUCAAGACUCCUACGGGAGGCAGCAGUAGGGAAUCUGCCGCAAUGGGCGAAAGCCUGACGGAGCAACGCCGCGUGAGUGAUGAAGGUCUUCGGAUCGUAAAACUCUGUUAUUAGGGAAGAACAAAUGUGUAAGUAACUAUGCACGUCUUGACGGUACCUAAUCAGAAAGCCACGGCUAACUACGUG
rnacentral:rRNA from 1 species